AAUCUGCAGAAGUGAAAACAGUAUGGUACUGGCACAAAAACAGACACAAAGAUCAAUGUAAUAGAAUAGAGAACCCAGAGAUGGACCCACAGAUAUAUGGCAAAUGAAUCCUCAACAGAGCAAGAAAGACUAUCCAAAUGGAAGAAACACAGUCUCUUUAUUAAAUGGUGUUGAGAAAAAUGGACAGCAACAUGCAGAAGAAUAAACCUGGAC